rnacentral:rRNA from 1 species
AUGGCCGAGGAACAAUCUGGCCCGCCGGCAGCGGACGGGGUGGUGGUGGCGAUGAAGGGCCACCCGGGGUCAGGCAAGUCCACGGUGGCUCGUGCCAUCGCCUCCUCGCUCCGAUGCCCGCUCCUUGACAAGGACGACGUGCGGGACUGCACCCUGCACCUCGAGCGCGCCGCCGCCGGCAGCGGCAUCCUCAACGACCUCUCCUACGCCGUGCUCUGGAGGUUGGCCGAGAGGCAGCUCCGGCUUGGCCUGUCCAUCGUCGUCGACUCCCCACUGUCGCGCCGAGCCCAUCUCGAUGCUCUGGCCCGCUUGCCUGCUGCACUUGUUAUCAUUGUGGAAUGCCGGCCAGGCAACCAAGAUGAAUGGCGCCGCAGGCUGGAGGAGCGUGGAGGCGUCUUGGCCGAUGAUGGAUGGCAUAAGCCCAAGACGUGGGCCGACCUAGAAAGGCUUGUGGAAGGGUACCAAGGAUGCACAAACUAUGACACUGGGGAUUUGCCGAGGAUCCUUGUGGAUACAACGGACCCGACGGUCAGCACCGAGGCAAUCGCUGUGAGGGUUGUGGAUUUUAUUAGGUCUCUUCUAGCCCGUGCGCAUUAG